GGCGACAUGGCCGAGUGGUUAGGCAGAGGUCUGCAAAACCUCGUACGGCGGUUCGAGUCCGCCUGUCGCCUCAA
rnacentral:tRNA from 1 species